UGGAGCCACUAGGGGCGCUUGAUGCUGAGACGAGGGUGACCACCCUUGAACCCUUAGCACCUGAACUGGGUAAUACCAGCGUAGGGAAGUGGCACGGAAUCGAC
rnacentral:ncRNA from 2 species